UUUAUACAAAUGGAAGAUCGCAGUGUGGCUUCGGUUCUCUUCCCCCAUCUCUCGAAAUAUUGUUUUCAGUAAGAACAACCUUGGAUUUUCUUAUAUAUGUGCCGUAUUAUGGAGACUGAAGGUACAGAUGUUUGCAUGGAUAAAGAGCCAGAUCGUGUUAUAACAUAUUCCUCUAGAGGUGGUUCCCAUGCUUCAUCUUGUGAAGAUAGCCUCAGUCAUCAGGAUGUCAUGGAGUCAUUUGGCGAAAUAAAUGGGGAUCACGAUAUCAACAAUUCAGAAGAGGGAAGUGAAUCAAAGGAAUAUGAAGUGAAGGAAUGUACAAAUGAAAAAUCAAUCAAGAUUCCUGAAAUGCACCCUUCAAAGAAACCAGGCCAACAGCAAAAUGUGGUUAGCAGCUUGACUAAUGAAAAAGAGAGACUGGAGGAGAAGGUACAAGAAGGAAAGAACGAUGACAAAUUACUGUUAACUGUGAACUCAUUGAAAUCUUCUGCUGGAAAUGCUCGUUCAAGACAUACUGUUCCACAGCCAUUUGCCUUGGCAACGGAAAAGCGUGCUUCAUCGGGUACUCGACUUCCCAGCGCUAUCACCACUGAAAAAUCUACCAAAAACAAUAUUCGGCCUGCAAAGACCAAAUCAAAUCAGCCCACAUCUCCUAGGGUGUUGAGGAAGCCACUGCAACCUAAUAACAAGAAGCAUGCUGAUGAGGAAGAUUCCUGCUCUGCGGUUUCCGUUAGCAGUGCAGCAUCAACUCGGGCUAUCAAGACCAGAAUUACUGUUGCAUCAGUUCCUGCAUUGAGGUGCACAGAGCGUGCAGAGAAAAGGAAGGAGUUUAAUUCGAAAUUGGAGGAAAAACUCCAGGCUCUGGUGGCUGAGAAGACCGAGUGUGAGACGAAGUCCAAGGAAGAGACUGAGGCCGCUAUCAAACAACUAAGAAAGAGUUUAUUAUUCAAAGCAAAUCCAAUGCCAAGCUUCUACCACGAUGGGCCUCCUGCCAAGGCUGAGCUGAAAAAGCUCCCACCAACUCGUGCAAGGUCACCUAAACUUGGCCGACGUAAGAGUUGCAACAAUGCGGUUCUAUCCAAUGGAAACAAGAUAAAAGUCAGUCUUGGCAAGGGAAAUGGCCAUCGUACCGACAGUUCCAACAGAGAUACUAUUGCAUUGGAUGUCACCGAGAAUCAGAGCAAUGUCAUUCGCUUUGUAGAAAACGAGCUGAAGCAAGGAGAAGCCUUUUGCGAGGUGAUUUCUAUUGAUGUAAAUGGUCCAAACAAUACAAAUAUUUCUGUCCAGUCUUAAGUUGGUGACGAACUUCCAAGUCUCUUCUACCAUGCUUUACGUCUACGUCUACCAUUUUCAAGAGUUCGUUGCAGUGGUUUAUGUAAUUUAUGAAAUGUAAAUUUCUGUAAUUUAUAUUGGUUUAUGUGGAAGCUUUUUACUUCCAGAUCAAAUAAUUAUCUUCUAAGGGCCCUCCCCCUGACAGAAAAAAGGAAAGCAGAAAGAAGCAGAUCUACUAAGAUGUGGUUCGAGCUAUUGUUUCCUUUGUUACUUUUAAAGGACUAUUGCUCGUCGGUUAUUCACGUGCAUGGUUGAGGAGGCAAAACAAGGGAAUUUCUUCAAAUGCAAAACAUGAAACAAACUCGAAAAACCAGUCUCCUCACGAAUGUUCUUCUCCAGCCAUGAGGAGAAAUCUUUGGUCUAACAUCUCAACUCCCCACCGUCUCGUACGACACAUCCAGCUCGUGAGUUGCUUGGCGCCCUUUUCUAAGGUAAAAGAGAUCCUUUUACCCUUUGCUUCUUCUAUGACAUAUAACAUGUUUAAUAUCUUGGAUAUCCACCAAGAGAUUUGAAUCUCUCUCAAGAUUUACUAUUAGUUAAGUUGAAGGCGUCUAUCGUUUCCACUAGUAUAGAGGUGCGUAGUAUGGAGGACUCGCACCGAUUUGACAUACAAACUCGAUAUCUUUCCUUACAGCUAAAGCUUGUAUAGUUGCCAAAAGAAGAGGGGCUCCAUAAAUAAGAAAGAUUUAGCUGGCCAUAUUCCUUAGCUCUUGGGUAUUUUAGCCUUCCAAA